CACCGUAAGGUUAGCCGGGGCUUCGGUUAGUCGAGGUACCGUCAUUUUCUUCCCUGCUGAUAGAGCUUUACAUACCGAAAUACUUCUUCACUCACGCGGCGUCGCUGCAUCAGGGUUCCCCCCAUUGUGCAAUAUUCCCCACUGCUGCCUCCCGUAGGAGUCUGGGCCGUGUCUCAGUCCCAAUGUGGCCGUCCACCCUCUCAGGCCGGCUACUGAUCGUCGCCUUGGUGGGCCGCUGCCCCGCCAACAAGCUAAUCAGACGCGGGCCCAUCGCAUACCACCGGAGUUUUUCACACCAAGCCAUGCGGCUCUGUGCGCUUAUGCGGUAUUAGCACCUAUUUCUAAGUGUUAUCCCCCGGUAUGCGGCAGGUUGCCCACGCGUUACUCACCCGUCCGCCACUAGGGCAGGAUUCACUAGGUUUCCUCCUGCCCCCGUUCGACUUGCAUGUGUUAAGCACGCCGCCAGCGUUCAUCCUGAGCCAGGAUCAAACUCU
rnacentral:rRNA from 1 species